rnacentral:rRNA from 1 species
CGCUGGCGGCGUCUUACACAUGCAAGUCGUACGAGAAACCGGAACUUCGGUUCCGGGAGUAAAGUGGCGCACGGGUGAGUAACGCGUAGGUAAUCUACCCUUGGGUUUGGAAUAACCCGCCGAAAGGCGUGCUAAUACCGGAUAAAAUCUUUCGGAGGGAUCUGAAAGAUCAAAGGUGGCCUCUCCAUGGAUGCUACUGCCUGAGGAUGAGCCUGCGUCCCAUUAGCUUGUUGGUAGGGUAAUGGCCUACCAAGGCUACGAUGGGUAGCUGGUCUGAGAGGAUGAUCAGUCACACUGGAACUGGAACACGGUCCAGACUCCUACGGGAGGCAGCAGUGAGGAAUAUUGCGCAAUGGGGGAAACCCUGACGCAGCGACGCCGCGUGGGCGAAGAAGGCCUUCGGGUCGUAAAGCCCUGUCUAGAGGGAAGAAAUUCUCAAUGGAAUAAUACCCAUUGAGAUUGACGGUACCUCUGGAGGAAGCACCGGCUAACUCCGUGCCAGCAGCCGCGGUAAUACGGAGGGUGCUAGCGUUGUUCGGAAUUACUGGGCGUAAAGCGGGUGUAGGCGGUUUGUUGAGUCAGAUGUGAAAGCCCACGGCUCAACCGUGGAAGUGCAUCUGAAACUGGCAGACUUGAGUACCGGAGAGGGAAGUGGAAUUCCUGGUGUAGGGGUGAAAUCCGUANAUAUCAGGAGGAACACCGGUGGCGAAGGCGACUUCCUGGACGGAUACUGACGCUGA